UUGAACGUGCAUAUAUUGAGUACAUUAUGCAUAUAGAAUGCAUCCAGUGAUGUAUCAAACAAUUGUCUUUGUAGGACAGACAGUAUGCAAAAUCUACCCACUUCCAAUGCUAUAUAAAUGACCUGUUCUGACACAACCUUCCUCACUGCAACCACCCUGUCUGCUAGUACCCAGACAGACACUGCCAGAGAUCCAACAGAGAAACAUGUUUCUUACAUCCCUACUCCUCCUGGCAGUCCUGCCAUAUAUACACAGCAUUAGUUUGACCUCCUCCCCUGCUCAACUCAAAGCUCCUGGAGAUUCAGUGAAACUCUCUUGCCAAAUCUCUGGCUAUGCCCUGACAGACUAUGGUACAGUUUGGAUACGACAUCAGCCAGGGAAAACACUGGAGUGGAUUGGGAUCAUCUGGGGUGGUGGAUCCAUCAACUCUGGAGCCUCUUUUAAGAGCAGAUUCACCAUCUCCAGAGACAGUAGUAAUGUACUGUACUUAGACAUCACCAGUCUGCAGGCUGAGGACACAGCUGUGUAUUAUUGUGCAAAAA